GGGUUGUGAGGUUAAGCGACUAAGCGUACACGGUGGAUGCCCUGGCAGUCAGAGGCGAUGAAGGACGUGCUAAUCUGCGAUAAGCGUCGGUAAGGUGAUAUGAACCGUUAUAACCGGCGAUUUCCGAAUGGGGAAACCCAGUGUGUUUCGACACACUAUCAUUAACUGAAUCCAUAGGUUAAUGAGGCGAACCGGGGGAACUGAAACAUCUAAGUACCCCGAGGAAAAGAAAUCAACCGAGAUUCCCCCAGUAGCGGCGAGCGAACGGGGAGCAGCCCAGAGCCUGAAUCAGUGUGUGUGUUAGUGGAAGCGUCUGGAAAGGCGCGCGAUACAGGGUGACAGCCCCGUACACAAAAAUGCACAUGCUGUGAGCUCGAUGAGUAGGGCGGGACACGUGGUAUCCUGUCUGAAUAUGGGGGGACCAUCCUCCAAGGCUAAAUACUCCUGACUGACCGAUAGUGAACCAGUACCGUGAGGGAAAGGCGAAAAGAACCCCGGCGAGGGGAGUGAAAAAGAACCUGAAACCGUGUACGUACAAGCAGUGGGAGCACGCUUAGGCGUGUGACUGCGUACCUUUUGUAUAAUGGGUCAGCGACUUAUAUUCUGUAGCAAGGUUAACCGAAUAGGGGAGCCGAAGGGAAACCGAGUCUUAACUGGGCGUUAAGUUGCAGGGUAUAGACCCGAAACCCGGUGAUCUAGCCAUGGGCAGGUUGAAGGUUGGGUAACACUAACUGGAGGACCGAACCGACUAAUGUUGAAAAAUUAGCGGAUGACUUGUGGCUGGGGGUGAAAGGCCAAUCAAACCGGGAGAUAGCUGGUUCUCCCCGAAAGCUAUUUAGGUAGCGCCUCGUGAACUCAUCUCCGGGGGUAGAGCACUGUUUCGGCAAGGGGGUCAUCCCGACUUACCAACCCGAUGCAAACUGCGAAUACCGGAGAAUGUUAUCACGGGAGACACACGGCGGGUGCUAACGUCCGUCGUGAAGAGGGAAACAACCCAGACCGCCAGCUAAGGUCCCAAAGUCAUGGUUAAGUGGGAAACGAUGUGGGAAGGCCCAGACAGCCAGGAUGUUGGCUUAGAAGCAGCCAUCAUUUAAAGAAAGCGUAAUAGCUCACUGGUCGAGUCGGCCUGCGCGGAAGAUGUAACGGGGCUAAACCAUGCACCGAAGCUGCGGCAGCGACGCU
rnacentral:rRNA from 1 species